rnacentral:lncRNA from 1 species
UAGCAGGGUGAAUGUAUGUACAUUGUUCUCCUGGUUUCUCACACUGGUUUCUUUCUGACAGGGGCUUCCUGGUCCUCAAGGUCCUAUUGGACCUCCUGGUGAAAAAGGACCACAGGGCAAGCCUGGCCUCCCUGGCCUUCCCGGUUCUGAUGGCCCUCCUGGUCACCCUGGAAAAGAGGGUCAGUCUGGAGAUAAAGGGGCAUUGGGGCCUCCAGGUCCUCAGGGUCCAAUUGGAUAUCCAGGUCCUCGUGGUGUAAAGGUAAGAUUGAGUUACUGGAUCCCUCCUCUCACACCUUUUGAAUCUCACUCGAUUUGAAUCUCACUGGAUUGCUCCUCUCACGCCUUUUGU